rnacentral:rRNA from 1 species
UACGUAGGGGGCAAGCGUUGUCCGGAAUCAUUGGGCGUAAAGAGCUCGUAGGCGGCUCAGUAAGUCGGGUGUGAAAACUCCAGGCUCAACUUGGAGACGCCACCCGAUACUGCUCUGACUUGAGUUCGGUAGGGGAGUGGGGAAUUCCUGGGUGUAGCGGUGAAAUGACGCAGAUAUCAGGAGGAACACCGGUGGCGAAGGCGCCACUCUGGGCCGAAACUGACGCUGAGGAGCGAAAGCGUGGGUAGCAAACAGG